rnacentral:lncRNA from 13 species
AUGGUGGUAGAUGUGGUGGCAGAGGUGGUAGGCUUAGAAGUAAGGGUAGUAUUGGUGGUGAAGGCAGCAGGCUUAGAGGUGGUGGUAGAUUUGGUGAUGGAGGUAGCAGGUUUAGAGAUAGUGGUAGAUUUGGUGAUGAAGAUAACAGGCUUAGAGGUGGUAGUAGAUUUGGUGAUAGAGGUAUCAGGCUUAGAAGUGGUGGUAGAUUUCAUGGUAGAUAUAGCAAGUUUAGCCAUGGUGGUAGAUUUGGUGGUAAAGGUAGAAGGCUUAGAGGUGGUUGUAGAUUUUGUGGUGGAUGUAGUAGGCUUAGAAUUGGUGGUAGAUUUGGUAGUGGAAGUAGCAGGCUUAGAAGUGGUGGUAGAUUUGAUGGUAGAGGUAGCAGGCUUAGAGUUGGUAGUAUAUUUGGUGGUGAAUGUAGCAGGCUUAGAGGUGGUUGUAGAUUUUGUGGUGGAAAUAACAGGCUUAGAAGUGGUGGUAGAUUUGGUGGUGGAGGUAGCAGGCUUAGAAGUAGUGGUAGAUUUGGUGAUGGAAGUAGCAGAUUUAGAUAUGGUGUUAGAUUUGAUGAUGAAGGUAGCAGGCUUAGAGGUAGUGGUAGAUUUGCUGGUGGAUAUAGCAGGCUUAGAAUUUGGGGUAGAUUUGUUGGAGGAGGUGGCAGGUUUAGAGGUGGUGUUAUAUUUGCUGGUGGAUGUAGCAGGCUUAGUGGUGGUGGUGUAUUUGGUAAUGAAGGUAGCAGGCUUAGAAAUGGUGGUAGAUUUGCUGGCAGAGGUUGUAGGCUUAGAAGUAAGUGUAGAAUUGGUGGUGAAGGCAGCAAGCUUAGAGGUAGUGGUAGAUUUGGUGGUAGAGGUAGCAGUUAUAGAAUUGGUGGUAUAUUUGGUGGUAGAGGUAGUAGGCUUAGAAAUAGUGGUAGAUUUGGUGGUGGAAGUCGCAGGUUUAGAUGUGGUGGUAGAUUUGGUGAUGGAGUUAGCAAGUUUGGAUGUGGUGGUAGAUUUGGUGAUGAGUGUAGCAGGUUUAGAGGUGAUGGUAGAUUUGGUGAUAAAGGUAGCAGGCUUAGAAAUGGUGGCAGAUUUGGUUGCAGAGGUGGUAGGCUUAGAAGUAAGGGUAGAUUUGGUGGUGGAGGUUGCAGGCUUAGAGGUAGCGGUAUAUUUGGUGGUGGAAGUAGAAUACUUAGAGGUGGUGGUAGAUUUGGUGAUGGGGGUUACAAUGGUUGUUUUGGUAGCUGAUGUAGUAGUAGCUGUGGUAGGUUUACUAAUGGUGGAGGAUUUGGUGGUAGGAACCUUUUCAGUAGUGGAGAAUUUGGGGUUACUAACCACAAGUUUGGUAGAAACAGUGGGUUUUGUGGCUGGAGCUACAGGAUUAAAAGUUGGGGAAGAUUUGGUUAUAGAGAUCACCAGGCUUGUAAUGGACUUUCUGCUCAUCGAUGCAGAUUUAAUGUUUGUAGAUGCUUUGGUGGUCAAUAACAAUGGUUCUGAGGAUACAGUUUUAGAAGUCAGAUUAACAUUUGUUGGCAACUUCUCAGGUUGUAGGGUAGGAUAUACCCCUGGAUGA